rnacentral:lncRNA from 1 species
AUGGGGCUGCGCCUGGCGCUGCUGGCCGCGAUGCUGGCGGCGAGCCGUGAGUGGGGCCGGGGCUGUCCGGUGGGGCCGGGGUCGCCCCAGUGCUGCCCGGGGCUGCAGCCGUCUCGGGCCGGCCGGGAAUGGUCCCUCCCGGCGUCGUGGUGGGGAUGCUCAGGGGUGGUGGUGGUCCCUGGGGAGGGCUGGGGGCUCGUCUGCUGGGCUCGUUUCUCACCAAACGCUGAAUCCGGCUUCUGGGGGUUCGGGGACUUCACCUGCUCCGGGUACCCCCCUCCUCGCUGGCACGGGGGUCCUGGGUUUUGCCAACGUGCCAGGCACGUGAAGGGGCACAAAAUGGGCGGCUGCGCGUGGAGCGCAGCACACGGAGGAGCAGGAGCACUGUGGAGCCUGCUGAAGUGGACUCUCACUGUACGGCAGUCAGUGGUGUGCGGCUGGGCUCCCCGAGCCCCAUUUCUGUUCCUGAUGCAAGUUGGGUUGGGUUGGUUGAACUGGGGCUCGCUCUCACGCUCCCAUCGUACCGUACUUACAUUCCUGGGCUGCAGCAGGGCUGGGGUCCAGCACUGGUGUGUGCGCAUCCAUUUGUUUUUUUCUAUGGAAGUGUCCAGAAAAAGCAGGGCUGGUAUCCCUCUCCAUGCCAGCCUACGGUUUGUAAAAGUGCCUCUCCCACACACACAACUCCAGCUGUGGCUGCCAGGCACAACUGUUGCGGCAUUCAUCUGUGAUUAUAACCGAAAAACAAAUUGUUUCUCUAGGCUCACAAAUACCUUUGCACGUCACAGUUCCUCAGAGGUUACCCUCAAAAACAGCUGGAGAGACGGUACUGACACAGUUAAACUAUUUAAUGUUUGUGCAUGUGUGUGCGAGUGGAUAUACUGGUGCAGGAAUUCAGGGUGUAACAGUCCUUGCGUGGCUGCUGCGGGGACAGUUUUGGGAAAUGAUGCUCUGCCUGCCCUGAAGUGUGUGUGUGUGAGGGGGUGUGGGGGGGUGACCAGAUCUGCUGAGCUCCUGCAGUUCUCAGCUCUUGCAGCCUGCCCUCUGAGCUUGCUUUUCUGA